CGCAACAGCCCAAGUGUGGGAAUAUUUCGGCUUUAAACCAGUUUUGUUUUCGUCAACCACAAAACUCCACGUGUGUGUGUGCGCGCGCGUGCAUGUGUGUAUGUGUGUUGGAGGAGCACAGCAGGCUGAUGAGAGCUGUCAGAGCGGACUGAAGCUGCUCCUGUAUGUUUAGCGUUUAACUGACUGAGUUUUGCAACUCUGUUCGUCAUUUUCGUCUCGUCCCAUCAACGUUAACGCACUUUCGUCUCGUCACAUUUUAGUCAUCUCCGACAUAUGUUUAGCUCGUCAAUGUUACGUCUUCGUCGUGGGAGAAAAGGGAAAUAUUUUAGUCAACGAAAACAACCAGUGUUGUUCUCGUGUGGAAAUUAAAGUUUAUCACUUUUGACAUGGUGUACUCGCAUUAUUAUGCCAUAUAAUAUCAUUAUCUAUAAUUUAAAAAACGGUGUCAAUAAUAUCGUUUAUCGGCGAUAAUUUGUAGCACAAUUAUCGUCCAGCAAAAUUUGUUAUCGUGACAGGCCUAG